AGACACCUACGGGUGGCAGCAGUCGAGAAUUUUUCUCAAUGGGGGAAACCCUGAAGGAGCGACGCCGCGUGGAGGAUGAAGGUCUUCGGAUUGUAAACUCCUGUCAUUUGGGAACAAGUUGCAUCGGUUAACUGCCGAUGCAUUGAUAGUACCAGAAGAGGAAGAGACGGCUAACUCUGUGCCAGCAGCCGCGGUAAUACAGAGGUCUCAAGCGUUGUUCGGAUUCAUUGGGCGUAAAGGGUGCGUAGGUGGCGGGGUAAGUCAGGUGUGAAAUCUCGAGGCUCAACCUCGAAACUGCACUUGAUACUGCCUUGCUUGAGUACUGGAGAGGAGAUUGGAAUUUACGGUGUAGCAGUGAAAUGCGUAGAUAUCGUAAGGAAGACCAGUGGCGAAGGCGAAUCUCUGGACAGUUACUGACACUGAGGCACGAAGGCCAGGGGAGCAAACGGGAUUAGAUACCCCGGUAGUCCUGGCAGUAAACGGUGCGCGUUUGGUGUGGGAGGAUUCGACCCCUUCUGUGCCGGAGCUAACGCGUUAAACGCGCCGCCUGGGGAGUACGGUCGCAAGAUUAAAACUCAAAGAAAUUGACGGGGGCCCGCACAAGCGGUGGAGUAUGUGGCUUAAUUCGAUCCACGCGAAGAACCUUACCUAGCCUUGACAUGCAUCUCUAAGUCGGUGAAAGCCGGCGAGUGUAGCAAUACACAAUUUGCACAGGUGCUGCAUGGCUGUCGUCAGCUCGUGUCGUGAGAUGUUGGGUUAAGUCCCGCAACGAGCGCAACCCCUGUGAACUGUUGCCACCGGCCUUCGGGCCGAGCACUCUGUUCAGACUGCCCUGUGAAACGGGGAGGAAGGUGGGGAUGACGUCAAGUCAGCAUGGCCCUUACAGCUAGGGCUGCACACGUACUACAAUGCUCAGUACAGAAUGAACCGAAACCGCGAGGUGGAGGAAAUCCCUAAAACUGAGCCCAAUUCGGAUUGGAGGCUGCAACUCGCCUCCAUGAAGCCGGAAUCGCUAGUAAUGGCGUAUCAGCUACGACGCCGUGAAUACGUUCCCGGGCCUUGUACACACCGCCCGUCACAUCAUGGAAGUCACUUGUACCCGAAGUGCCUGCGCCAACCGCAAGGAGGCAGGGCCCUAAGGUAUGGGCGGUAACUGGGAUGAAGUCGAAACAAGGUAGCCGUAGGGGAACCUGCGGCUG
rnacentral:rRNA from 1 species